CAGCCGCCGCGGUAAAACGAAGGGUGCAAGCGUUAAUCGGAAUUACUGGGCGUAAAGCGUGCGUAGGCGGUUUGUUAAGUCUGUUGUGAAAUCCCCGGGCUCAACCUGGGAAUGGCAAUGGAUACUGGCAAGCUAGAGUGUGUCAGAGGAUGGUGGAAUUCUCGGUGCAGCGGUGAAAUGCGUAGAGUUCGGGAGGAACAUCAGUGGCGAAGGCGGCCAUCUGGGACAACACUGACGCUGAGGCACGAAAGCGUGGGGAGCAAACAGGAUUAGAUACCCCCGUAGUCCCUGUCUCUUAUAA
rnacentral:rRNA from 1 species